GAUGAAGAACGCAGUGAAAUGCGAUAAGUAGUGUGAAUUGCAGAAUUCAGUGAAUCAUCGAAUCUUUGAACGCACAUUGCGCCCCAUGGUAUUCCGUGGGGCAUGCCUGUUCGAGCGUCAUUUACCCCCUCAAGCUCCGCUUGGUGUUGGGCGUCUGUCCCGCUUCGCGCGCGGACUCGCCCCAAAGGUAUUGGCAGCGGUCGUGCCAGCUUCUCGCGCAGCACAUUGCGCUUCUCGAGGCACCGGUGGGCCCGCGUCCAUCAAGCUCACCCCCCCAGUUUGACCUCGGAUCAGGUAGGGAUACCCGCUGAACUUAAGCAUAUCAAUAAGCGGAGGA
rnacentral:misc_RNA from 1 species